ensembl:Mt_tRNA
AGAGACUUAGGAUAACCUAGACCAAGAGCCUUCAAAGCUCUCAGUAGAAGUGAAAAUCUUCUAGUCUCUG